UUUUUUUAACUCAUUUGCGUUACUUUUCAUUGUUGCUUUCACACCAGAAGCAGGAUGUGGUAUUGACCCUUUUAUUGUCAAUUGUUAUUUGAGAACAGCUCGAUGUCUUUGGCACACACAUCAAACCAGACUUUGAGCAGAGCUAAAUGUGGCUUUGCUUUGAGAACUUCAAUGGAGCCAUGGCCCUUUGCAUUUACAGAGGAGCUGUCUGCAAUGAAAAGUCCCUUUGGCUUCUUGGCUAAACCAAAAGGUUGCAUAACAUGUGCCGUAAGUGGCAACUGAAUUGAAAAACUGGUUAUCUGUAUGGUGGGCAAAAGAGAAAGAUAUUUUGGCAUAUCUCAGUUUCCCUCAGGAUUUGCACCAGGAUAACCUCCUGGAAAGUGCCAGGAGCCUCUCUUGAACGUUCAGUGCCUUCAGACUCCUGUUGGUAUGGAUGGAAACUAAAAACUUUUGAUAGUGGAGAGAUUUAACUCUGAGGGGCUGCAGAAAAAAAGAUGCGUUCCUGUUCCAGGACCUCCAGGUGCACAUAAGGUUUAUUUGCUGCUGUCUCCAUAUGAAAACCGGAUGUUUUCCUUGCCAAAGUGCUGCCCCUCGCUUUAGAGGAGAGUAAGCUAACAGGCUAUUGAGCUCCUCUGAGACAGACAGACUCUUCCUGAAGCUCUUCCUGACAUCUCAGCUCCUGCCGCAGCUGCUGCUGAUAGCUGUCACCACCUGAGGUCUCACUGAAACCUGAGUUCUUUAUCCCACACACGUACAAUUAAAUUAAGCCAGCAUGGUUCCCCAGAGAAUGCAUGGACCAGAAGGGGGCAAAUAAGACAGGAAAGAGGAGAUGGUGAACUAGUUCUUUCUUCCAUUUGUACUUUCAACAAGAUGAAGUAAGAAAGGCACAUUUAAUAGCAUAUCUCACUACAGCUUUUCAGCUUUUUCUGAAACACCUUUGCUGUGAGGCUGGGGAGACUUCUAAGGCUGCAGUUCUGAUUAAGCAGUGUGCUACUGAAGGGCAGCUAAUUAGCAAAGCCACAGUACUUGGGCUAUUAUGGUAGGUUCAGUUGUUUCAUACUGAGAAAAUGUAGGAGCUGAAAGCAUCGCUCAGUCUAUUUUUCCAAAUGCUUCCUUUUCUUCAAGCUGGCUAAAUACGUCAUUUCAGGGUUUAUUCUAGUUCACAAUGAUAUCCUAAAUUUUCACAGAAUGCAUAUAAUAAUUUGCAGGUCCAGCACAAUUUGUGUAAAUGUUUCAUCUCUUACCACCUUAUGUGCAUGUGUUGCUCUUUCUCUCCUGCUUGCAUUAACUGGACAUCUACUAAUGCUCUGUGACCAAAGGCAAGAAAUCAUCUUUUGAAGUCUUGGUGUUGGAGGCCGGAACUUUCAAUGACAUAAAAUCAUUAUUGUGCUCUGUUUAAGUGAUUUACAGUUUUCCAGAUUAGUUUUUCAAAUUUAUAUAUUUGAACCAACACAAAAAUAAUGCAACUAAAAAGCCAUAAAAUAAAUGAGCAUGCAGUUAUGAUACAUUCAUUAAGAGACGCCCAGAUCUUUAUGCCUCCAUCAAAACAUCAUGCAAUUAUGCUGAGCACAGUAAAUUCAUCUCCUUGCUCUGCCUUUCUAUGUUUCUUCUUGUUGUACUAUUUUUUUGUCAUGUGUGUCUUAAGAGGGGAGGAACUGCUAUUCAUCCAAUUAGGCACUUACAUAACAUCAGAAUCAGAUGACUACUUGGUAGAUAGUCUGUGUUAUUCUGUGAUCUUCUUACAUGACUCAUCUGGUCCUCUACUGCGUAUAUUAGGGGUCUUGACAAGCCUUGAAAUAAAAACUAAAAGAGUAUAAACAGAAAAAAAAAACCUUUGCUAUUGAAAACAUAAAGCAGAAAAAACUUCCCAAGAAGGACAUGUGUUUCUAUUUUAUAGAUAGGGACACUGAGACCUGACAAAAUAAUUCAACCUCGGUCACCCAGCAGGCAAACAGCCAAGAAAAGGUGAAGACACAGGUAUCCUGAGCUCUGAUACAAUCCACUUCCCACUGGAACACAGCGCCUUUGAGUCCCUGCAAUCUGCAGAAUGUCGUUUUUUCUCUUACUCAGUAAGUAGCAGAAGCCACAAAGAAAUCUGUGAUAGCAAUCCUGCUGAAGGCAUUGAAGAAGCCUAGAGAUACAGGGGAAGCCUUACUCUUUUCUUCGUGCAGUGGUAAAAGCAAAUAAAACCGUAAAAUCCCCCCUUUCAGAAUAGAGUUAAUAUAUGGAAGUGUGAAAAGAUACUGCCUUAUGCAAAGAGGCAGAGAUACAUGAGCCAAAAAUGGUAACGGAUUACAUGUGGAUGCUAUGUAUCCCACUCAUAGUAUUGUAGCUUUGAGGAUCAAGACAUUUUUGUCCUAGAUACAUGUGCUGAUUCACCGAGAAAAUGUGCAGUGUUAAAUCACUGUGUUAUAUUUCUUACCCAUGCUGGGGUUAGACUGGAGGUUGCAAACUGGGUUGUCAAAACAGCACAUGUGGGAUCCCAUAACUCUGAAAUCUGACUGUUUUAAACACCCAUUCAAAAUCUAUCUUCACUUUAAAAAAAACAACAACUGGGAGGUGGGAGUAUGUGGCAGAGGAAGGAUCACCCUGCUGCUCGUUGUGUUUUACAUCUCUAUUUCCCUGAUCAUCUCCUUCAGACAACCAUCCGAGACCAUGACCCAGAUCAAGUCCCAGACCUUUGGAGUGACUCCAAAGAGCCAUCUGUAUACUUUUAUUUAAUGUUUCAAGUACCCUAAAAAAAUAGACAGGAAGUAUCCACAACACUACAGCCUGUAACAGGUACACUGCUAUGUUUAACGUUCCCACUGUAGAAUGCCUCAGCGUUGUGUAAAUGUUACAACAGAUAAUGCCAGUAACGUGCAGUACACAAUUUCCUUUGAUACCUUUUGGGGGUAGAAUUAAGUAGAAGGAUUUUCUACUACUGUCACAACCCACACACACGAUUCUUACAGUUCUCAGUGUCAUUUUGGUCUCAAGAGGAAGCAGGAUGACUGAAGAGAAUGACACUUGUGUUGUCUUCAACCUUAGUUAUUUAUUUUUUAAGACUGCUUGGAUAUCAAGGUUUAAAUGAAUACCAGUAGCUGAACAGACAGUCAUGAACUUGCCUCGCACAAAGAGGAGCUGCAUUUUAACUGCAGAACUGAGGAUUUGUUGAACUUGGGCCUCAGAUUUCAGUAGUAUUUUUUUUCAAAGAAAUCAAUAAGCCCUAAGUAUGAAUAAUAUUAGGUCACAAAUACAAGUCCUUUUUAAGGCAUUACAUCAAUGUGAUGCAAAAUGUGAGCGAAGGCUGCCGACUUAUUUUGGCAACAGAAUCAGUUUUAGUAGAACAAGUCUGCUACAAGGCAUUUCACCUCUAAGGUAUCGAUUAGACUAUUGCCCAUGUAAGCAAAGAUAGCUAUUUAAUGUGCAUCGAAGGGUGAGUCAGUAGUCUCAUUGAAUUUUCAAAAUCUUAGUUUCCCAAAGCAUUACGAAGGGUGCUUCCUCUCUUCUGUCUUACUGUUAUUGCUAACAAAAUAGGAUUUGAUGUGCAGGGAGGCUGUUCUCUUCAAGGCAACAGUGGUGUCAGUGAGACAGAUGUGGUGUGGUUUGUGUUAUCCUCCUUGCCCAGCCUUGGAUGGGCAGCUUGCAUGGGCACUGAGUGCCUGGAGCAACUUCUGUAGAUGUUGUGUUUGACAUUCCUGUCACCUCUUUCUGGCUGUUUCACAAAUAGCUCAGUGGAAUGUUGUUGCUGGUCUUGCCGGCUCUAAUAGCAGAUGUAAUUUUAUUUUUUUAAAUUAUAUUUUAACUUAUACUUCAUAUCUUAAUCCUCCUCACAAGCAAAUGCAUAGUAAUAUUGUAUGUUUGGCAAAUGAUGUUGCAGCUGAAAUCUUCACAUGCAGCGUGAAACAACUAUUUGUGCUGAGAUGAAUGGACGAUUAUUACCUCUCUGUUUUCUUUUUCAUUAUCCUUUUGAAUUAAAACCUCCUUGCAAAAUCAUUAUCCUUGUUUUAAACUGCUCUUUGUAUUAAAUGUCACUGCCUCUUCUAGUGUUUUUUUCUUUUGUUUAGAUUGAGUUCUAAUUUUCUGUUA